ensembl:lncRNA
CCUCACGAGACCGGGGUCAACCACGGCUACCAGCAUGAACGACGGCGCUUCAGACCUUUGUAGCGAGGACCCGAUGCCAGGUCCAGUGGACAGACUUCAGACGUCUCUGUGUGUCCGGUCCUGUCCGGUCCUGUCUCUGGUUGCCUGGUUACAGACGCUGCUGCACCCGCACGUUUAAAAAUGUCUACACCUGAAACUCCACCACGUCUAAAGAAGCAAAAACGUUUGCAAAUGUACAGACUGGAGUGGGAAGAGUGGAACCCCUGGCAAUGGGUACAAGGCAAACUGUGUUUUCUGUUGCUCAUGGACUGGCUGAAGUAAGGCAGCAUCAGGAGACAAACAUGGAGGAAAUAUGAGAACAGAGAGAACCCAACCAGCAGGUCACAGUUUAUCAUCAUCUAAUCAUCUCCUGAAGUCGAUAUGUCGCUGUAAAAAGUCAGUCCAUCCUGGCCGACUUCAACACCUCUUCAUGACAACUUGUUCUGCCUCCGACCU